UGUGGUCGUCGUGUCAACUCUGUUCGCGCCUUUUUAUAGAAUCGCUUAACACACACUCCAUGUUGUUCAGCAGGGAAAUAAAACUAAGAAUACAAAUAGAACGGUUAUGGGAGCUUUAAUAAAGAAACAAGUUUCAAAUUUGGAAAUGUUAGCUCCUGCUAUAGCAUUUAUCAUAUUUUAGGCCAGAUCCAGCCAUCAUAACUACAAGAUGUGCCAGUUUUGCUUGUUCUGGUAUUCACCUGUCAUCAGCAACAAUUUCAGUGUCAUCGCUUGGGCAUCCCGUUUGAUUGGAGAAACCAUUGAUGUCGGUCGAGUUACCGAAGUCUUCUUCCCCUUUCUUUAAAUCCCCUCUGUCAUUGUGUACACCCAUGUGUGUGUGGGGGUAUUCACGAGGACAUCCCUUUUCCUGUCCCGCCUGGUGUUCAUUCAACUUUUCAGCGGAUCGAGCACUUGUAGAUGCCUGGCCGUAUUUCCCAGGCUUAAAGGUAGGAAAAAUGUUUCUAUAUUCUUCCUUUGUGACUAUUUGGUGUUAAAUCGUAGUACGAUUAUUCCUGGGCUAGGCGGUUGACUGGAAUUGUUUCCUCGUUUUGUUUAUAUUCAGUCAGGAUUAAUUAACUCAUUUGUAGAACGACUACAAAUCAGGCCGUGUUUUGUACCUCAACAGUUUGUCUGUGGAUAAACUAUCAGAUUGAAAAAUAUUUUAACUUUAAAGACUUCAAGCAAAGUGCAACUAAAAAAUGUUAUGACCAAAAGGGUCGCCCCACUGGCACCACCUCGUAAGGCUAAGAUAUUAAAUCGGCUGUCCCAAUUCACAAUUCUACGACAUCGUAGUUUAAAUCUACUGCUAUCGUGUCAUCGUCAUCUGCCUCCCCCUCUCUCCCCGUGUCCACGUUAGUUCAACACCCACUCGUUUCGCCUACUUCCGUUUCUUAGACUUCUCUCUUCGUUCUCCACCAAUCUCCGGGAGUGCCGUUCUCAUUUGCCACUAGUUUUUCUCUCGUUCUGUCAUAUCUGUCCCUCGUUUUAUCUUGCUUCAUUUUUUUUUUUUAAAUUCCCUGACCACAACGUUCUUCAAUCUUGUCCUAUUUCUGACUCGCAACACAUUUCUUUUGCCGUGUUGUCUUUGUUCACAUUUCUUUCAGAUUUUCUUUGAAGUCAUUUUUCUCCAAGGCAAUUUAUUGGCGUCGUCCAUUUUUUCUAUGGCAUUGCUACUGUUAAUGUAAUUAACGUAUGUUGGGCAGCGCUCGUUUGCUAGGCAACGCAAAGCAAAUAAAAGAAAAUCGUACCUUAUAGCCUUUCUCCAUCACGAAA